ensembl:lncRNA
AUCAGUUGCAUAAACUAGCUUCAGGCCAUAGAGUUCAGGUGAAGGCUAGAAAUGUAUUAAUAGGAAGAUAAUGUUCAUUCACUCCUCUUUUUUAUAAUUGUUUUUUGUUUAGACCAAAGAGGAAGUCAUUGCCACUGCUAUUCGAGUUAUGGCUGGAGGGGAAGCCCUGGUGAAAUUUGCUGGCAGAAUUACAAAGGAUUGCAUAGAUGAAAGACGUGCAGCUGACCUACUGUGUGCCUUGGAGAAAACCAAAACAAUUAACUAUCAACUUAGCAUCAUUACCCGGGUAAUUGCAUCAACAGGUAGCAGUAGGUCAUCUGUGGAACACCUUGUAAGCAAUGCUCAAAAUCUCUUCCAGGGAGUUCUUCAAAUGUUUAUGGCAGCAGAAGCAGCUUGUGUCAAAGGUUUGCAACACCCAUCCCCUCAUACAAAAGAAUCAAAUACAGGUGCAUUUUGCAGCCAAUGGAGGAAGAGUCUUCAGUGAUAUGGGGCCAAGGAAAGUUUGAAUUCAGACAAAGAGAAACUGGGACUCUGCAAAACAGGACUGUGGCCCAGCCCACUUUCACCUCUGUGAUCUUGGAACUUUAUUAUAAUAGCAGUAAAUAGUCCAGUCCCUCUAAAUACAGGUAGUCCUCACUUAGCAACUGCUUCAUUCAACAAUCGUUCAAAAUUAUAACGAUGUUGAAAAAAUGACUUUACAACCAAUGCCCACAUUUAUAACUUUUGCAGUGUCCCCCAGUCACGAUUACUAUUAUAGCCACUAUAUGUUGCUCUCUGUCCUGACCUGUUGUUUUUCUUUUCUUUUCUCCCUGGUAGAUUGGAGCAAUAGGGAAUACAAGAGAAUAAGCUGGUACACCAUCAGGAAUACACAUUCCUUUCAAUGUGUAUGCCCAUUGUAUAUCUUCUUACUCUCUUAUAAUCCCUUUCUUUCCAAUCAAUGUAACUAGAAACAUUCCCUUUUUGCUGGGAUGAGCAGUCCAGAAAGUGGAGGAGUGGGAAAAAGGAAAGCACAGUCACAUGAUUUCCCAUGCUUAACAAUGGAGCUGUUGAACCCAAUAUUGGUCACUAAGUGAGGUCUCCCAGUAUGAUGAAACUAUUGAAAGUAUAAAGCUUAAGCACAAUUAGGAAAAUUAGCAUUAAAAUAGGGAGUUAGGAUGAAUAAGGAAACAUGUUAUCUAAGACAGUUUUACCCCACUUAUUGCCCUCCAGAUUUAUUGACUGCCAAGUCCUAUGAUCUCAGGAGUUCUUGGUGCUCUCUGAUGUUGUUACCAAGUUGGGUAAUGAAACAUCCGCAAGCAAACAAGGGAGCUAAGAGAGCACCAAAGACACCACAAUUCAAGCCUGAGCUACUUGUAUUCUUUCUGUUGGACCCUACUUCACAUGAUUUGGACAAACUGCUAAAAGAGGAUUGUACUCGAAGAAAUGAGCUUCUAGAUGUAAUGUUUUCCGCUUUCCCAUAGGAACAUUUAUUUUUAUCUGUAUUAGUUUUCGCUUACAUAGAAUGUCACGGAAUAUUAUUGCUUGCAUGCUCUUGAUUUUGGUAGGUAUAGACACAUCACAGCAUCGGAGUAUCUUCUCAAAGGCCUUCAUGGUGGCACCACAUGUACCACUUUGUGACAUAUUUCUUGACUGCAUGUUUCUUUACUGCUGAUUAAUUCUUAAAGCAUUAGCUAUCUAUCACUUCAAAAUCUUGGCAGAUUCCCAAGGCAACAUGUGCUGUGCAGAUAGGGUCCUAUCCCUAAAGACUGAAUGCUAAUAUAAAAUAAAUUUAUUCUUCCCCCUAAAAGAUUUAUUUUUCAAUUAAAGUGGACAGUUUCUGUGAUAUUAAAGGUGGGGAAAAAAAUUCUGAAGUGGUUUGUUUUAUUGGUCUGUUUUUUUUAACAUUGUACAAACCUGGCAUUUUUAACAGGGCUGUGUAGUUUUUUUUAUAUCCACCGUAAAUUGGGAAUAUCUUGUAAGGUAUCUUAGAUGUUGAUGUCAUAAGGUAAAGGUUUUCCCUGUCCAGUUGUUUCCAACUCUAGGGGGCAGCGCUAUCUCUGUUCUUUAGUCUAGGAAGCCAGAGUUGUCCAAAGACAUUUCCAUAAUCAUGUGGCCAGCAUGAAUAUGCCAAGGUGCCCAGAACGCUGUUAGUUUCUCACCAGCAGUGCUUGUUCAUCUACUUGCAUUUGCAUUCUUUCGAACUGCUAAGUGGGCAGGAGCUGAGGCAAGUAACAGAAUCUCAUGCUAUCAAACAGCACUUAGAUCUCAAACCUGGGCUGUCAGCCAGCUGACAAGCUCAGCAUCUUUAACCAUUGAGUCACCAUGCAUCUCCUACCUUUAACAUACCUUAAACCAUAACCUGUUAACUAUGUCUUUUU